GAUUCUACGGGGGGCAGCAGUAGGGAAUUUUCGUCAAUGGGCGCAAGCCUGAACGAGCAAUGCCGCGUGAACGAGGAAGGUCUUCGGAUCGUAAAGUUCUGUUGAAGGGGAAAAAGAGCGGAGAGAGGAAAUGCUUUCUGAUUGAUAUUACCCUUCGAGGAAGUCACGGCUAACUACGUGCCAGCAGCCGCGGUAAUACGUAGGUGGCGAGCGUUAUCCGGAAUGAUUGGUCGUAAAGGGUGCGUCGGCGGCCUGCUACGUCUGGCGUGAAAGGUACCGGCUCAACCGGUACAGGCUCUGGCAAC
rnacentral:rRNA from 1 species